rnacentral:rRNA from 1 species
AUUGAACGCUGGCGGUAGGCCUAACACAUGCAAGUCGAGCGGAUGCAGGGUGAGUGCUCCUGGUUUCAGCGGGGGACGGGCGGGCGAUGCCUAGGUACAUGCCUGGCUGCGGUGGAUAGCGUCCGGACGCGGGCGCUCUUACGCUAAUACCGCAUACGAACUACGUGGGGAAGCAUGGGAUCUUCCGACCUUGCUCGAGUGGAGGAGGGAUUAGCUAGUUGGUGGGGUAAAGGCCCACCAAGGCGACGAUCCGUAGCUGGUCUGAGAGGAUGAUCAGACACACUGGAACUGAGACACGGUCCAGACUCCUACGGGAGGCAGCAGUGGGGAAUAUUGGACAAUGGGCGAAAGCCUGAUCCAGCCAUGCCGCGUGGGUGAAGAAGGUCUUCGGAUUGUAAAGCACUUUAAUUUGGGAAGAAAAGCAGUAAGUUAAUACCUUGCUGUUUUGACGGUACCAACAGAAUAAGCACCGGCUAACUUCGUG